GGCCUGGUGGUGUAGCGGCAACACACCUGUUUACAGUUCCCCUUCUUGUACCGAUUUCAGCAGGAAUCCCUUGUUCCGGAGUCAAGGCUAGGCCC